rnacentral:rRNA from 1 species
AGAGUUUGAUCCUGGCUCAGGAUGAACGCUAGCUACAGGCUUAACACAUGCAAGUCGAGGGGAAACGACAUCGAAAGCUUGCUUUUGAUGGGUGUCGACCGGCGCACGGGUGAGUAACGCGUAUCCAACCUGCCCACCACUUGGGGAUAACCUUGCGAAAGUAAGACUAAUACCCAAUGACGUCUCUAGAAGACAUCUGAAAGAGAUUAAAGAUUUAUCGGUGAUGGAUGGGGAUGCGUCUGAUUAGCUUGUUGGCGGGGUAACGGCCCACCAAGGCGACGAUCAGUAGGGGUUCUGAGAGGAAGGUCCCCCACAUUGGAACUGAGACACGGUCCAAACUCCUACGGGAGGCAGCAGUGAGGAAUAUUGGUCAAUGGACGAGAGUCUGAACCAGCCAAGUAGCGUGCAGGAUGACGGCCCUAUGGGUUGUAAACUGCUUUUAUAAGGGAAUAAAGUGAGCCUCGUGAGGCUUUUUGCAUGUACCUUAUGAAUAAGGACCGGCUAAUUCCGUGCCAGCAGCCGCGGUAAUACGGAAGGUCCGGGCGUUAUCCGGAUUUAUUGGGUUUAAAGGGAGCGUAGGCGGGAAGACAAGUUGGAAGUGAAAUCUAUGGGCUCAACCCAUAAACUGCUUUCAAAACUGUUUUUCUUGAGUAGUGCAGAGGUAGGCGGAAUUCCCGGUGUAGCGGUGGAAUGCGUAGAUAUCGGGAGGAACACCAGUGGCGAAGGCGGCCUACUGGGCACCAACUGACGCUGAGGCUCGAAAGUGUGGGUAGCAAACAGGAUUAGAUACCCUGGUAGUCCACACCGUAAACGAUGAUUACUAGGUGUUGGAGGAUUGACCCCUUCAGUGCCGCAGUUAACACAAUAAGUAAUCCACCUGGGGAGUACGACCGCAAGGUUGAAACUCAAAGGAAUUGACGGGGGCCCGCACAAGCAGUGGAGUAUGUGGUUUAAUUCGACGCAACGCGAAGAACCUUACCAAGUCUUGACAUCCUGCGACGUGCAUAGAAAUAUGUAUUUCCUUCGGGACGCAGAGACAGGUGGUGCAUGGUUGUCGUCAGCUCGUGUCGUGAGAUGUUGGGUUAAGUCCCGCAACGAGCGCAACCCUUACUGUCAGUUACUACGCAAGAGGACUCUGGCAGGACUGCCGUUGACAAAACGGAGGAAGGUGGGGAUGACGUCAAAUCAUCAUGCCCUUUAUGACUUGGGCUACACACGUACUACAAUGGCGUUAAACAAAGAGAAGCAAGACCGCGAGGUGGAGCAAAACUCAGAAACAACGUCCCAGUUCGGACUGCAGGCUGCAACUCGCCUGCACGAAGUAGGAAUCGCUAGUAAUCGCGGGUCAGCAUACCGCGGUGAAUACGUUCCCGGGCCUUGUACACACCGCCCGU